rnacentral:misc_RNA from 1 species
AAGUCGUAACAAGGUUUCCGUAGGUGAACCUGCGGAAGGAUCAUUACUGUGAUAUACUUUCCACACUGCGUGCGCGUAACAAACCCCUAAACAUGAAUAACCUAGUCAAGAAUCCAUAAGAAUAAAACUUUCAACAACGGAUCUCUUGGUUCUC